AUCAGACAGGCCUGGCAGCAAGAUGGAAUCACAGACACAGGUCCUCAUGUUUCUGCUGCUCUGGGUAUCUGGUGCCUGUGCAGACAUUGUGAUGACACAGUCUCCAUCCUCCCUGGCUAUGUCAGUAGGACAGAAGGUCACUAUGAGCUGCAAGUCCAGUCAGAGCCUUUUAAGUAGUGGCAACCAAAAGAACUAUUUGGCCUGGUACCAGCAGAAACCCGGACAAUCUCCUAAACUUCUGAUAUACUUUGCAUCCACUAGGGAAUCUGGGGUCCCUGAUCGCUUCAUAGGCAGUGGAUCUGGGACAGAUUUCACUCUUACCAUCAGCAGUGUGCAGGCUGAAGACCUGGCAGAUUAUUUCUGUCAGCAACAUUAUAGCACUCCUCCCACAGUGCUUCAGCCUUCUACACAAACCUCGUUGAGAGUUUAA